GGCUACAUUUACACCGCUACGUUUUGGUUUUUAAGUGGAGUUUUGAGCCAAAAGAGAUCUCUGUAAAAGACCUAACCUCUAUUUUAACUAACACACCCAAACAUCAUAUCUCAACAUUCUGGUAUACUGGACAUAAAUAGGAGACAGUGUGGAGACUUUGCCAACUGCUGGUAGUUGCCAUGGUAACAUUAGUGGCUUUAGUCUCAGAGAAAGAGACGUUGCGACCGCUAAGACCAUAUCAGGAGGAGAAACGUUGGCGUCAGAAAGGUCUCCAUUUGCAGCCGUAGAGACUGAAACACAACCCCGCAGAUUCCAAACCAAAACGGGUCAGAAGUGAUUCCUAAUGUCUCCAGACCA